AUGAACGCUGGCGGCGUGCCUAAUACAUGCAAGUCGAGCGAACAGACGAGGAGCUUGCUCCCCUGACGUUAGCGGCGGACGGGUGAGUAACACGUGGAUAACCUACCUAUAAGACUGGGAUAACUUCGGGAAACCGGAGCUAAUACCGGAUAAUAUAUUGAACCGCAUGGUUCAAUAGUGAAAGACGGUUUUGCUGUCACUUAUAGAUGGAUCCGCGCCGCAUUAGCUAGUUGGUAAGGUAACGGCUUACCAAGGCAACGAUGCGUAGCCGACCUGAGAGGGUGAUCGGCCACACUGGAACUGAGACACGGUCCAGACUCCUACGGGAGGCAGCAGUAGGGAAUCUUCCGCAAUGGGCGAAAGCUUGACGGAGCAACGCCGCGUGAGUGAUGAAGGUCUUCGGAUCGUAAAACUCUGUUAUUAGGGAAGAACAAAUGUGUAAGUAACUAUGCACGUCUUGACGGUACCUAAUCAGAAAGCCACGGCUAACUACGUG
rnacentral:rRNA from 1 species